rnacentral:rRNA from 1 species
GACGAACGCUGGCGGCGUGCCUAAUACAUGCAAGUUGAGCGCUGAAGGUUGGUACUUGUACCAACUGGAUGAGCAGCGAACGGGUGAGUAACGCGUGGGGAAUCUGCCUUUGAGCGGGGGACAACAUUUGGAAACGAAUGCUAAUACCGCAUAAAAACUUUAAACACAAGUUUUAAGUUUGAAAGAUGCAAUUGCAUCACUCAAAGAUGAUCCCGCGUUGUAUUAGCUAGUUGGUGAGGUAAAGGCUCACCAAGGCGAUGAUACAUAGCCGACCUGAGAGGGUGAUCGGCCACAUUGGGACUGAGACACGGCCCAAAAUCCUACGGGAGGCAGCAGUAGGGAAUCUUCGGCAAUGGACGAAAGGCGGACCGAGCAACGCCGCGUGAGUGAAGAAGGUUGUCGGAUCGUAAAACUCUGUUGGUAGAGAAGAACGUUGGUGAGAGUGGAAAGCUCAUCAAGUGACGGUAACUACCCAGAAAGGGACGGCUAACUACGUG